rnacentral:rRNA from 1 species
AACGAACGCUGGCGGCAUGCCUAACACAUGCAAGUCGAACGAAGCCUUCGGGCUUAGUGGCGCACGGGGUGCGUAACGCGUGGGAACCUGCCCCUUGGUUCGGAAUAACAGUUAGAAAUGACUGCUAAUACCGGAUGAUGACGAAAGUCCAAAGAUUUAUCGCCGAGGGAUGGGCCCGCGUAGGAUUAGCUAGUUGGUGAGGUAAUGGCUCACCAAGUCGACGAUCCUUAGCUGGUCUGAGAGGAUGAUCAGCCACACUGGGACUGAGACACGGCCCAGACUCCUACGGGAGGCAGCAGUGGGGAAUAUUGGACAAUGGGCGAAAGCCUGAUCCAGCAAUGCCGCGUGAGUGAUGAAGGCCUAGGGUUGUAAAGCUCUUUACCAGGGAUGAUAAUGACAGUACCUGGAGAAUAAGCUCCGGCUAACUCCGUGCCAGCAGCCGCGGUAAU